rnacentral:rRNA from 1 species
CCUACGGGUGGCAGCAGUGAGGAAUAUUGGUCAAUGGACGAGAGUCUGAACCAGCCAAGUAGCGUGAAGGAUGACUGCCCUAUGGGUUGUAAACUUCUUUUAUAAAGGAAUAAAACGAGGUACGUGUGCCUUUUUGUAUGUACUUUAUGAAUAAGGAUCGGCUAACUCCGUGCCAGCAGCCGCGGUAAUACGGAGGAUCCGAGCGUUAUCCGGAUUUAUUGGGUUUAAAGGGAGCGUAGAUGGGUUGUUAAGUCAGUUGUGAAAGUUUGCGGCUCAACCGUAAAAUUGCAAUUGAUACUGGCAGUCUUGAGUACAGUUGAGGUGGGCGGAAUUCGUGGUGUAGCGGUGAAAUGCUUAGAUAUCACGAAGAACCCCGAUUGCGAAGGCAGCUUACUAGACUGUAACUGACAUUGAUGCUCGAAAGUGUGGGUAUCAAACAGGGUUAGAUACCCCAGUAGUC